UACCGGCCUGUCACGCCGGGGGUCGCGGGUUCGAGUCCCGUCCGCUGCGCCA
rnacentral:tRNA from 2 species